CCAAAUAAUUCCAUCUAGCAGCAGUUUGGGGCUGGUCAGUGAGGAGGGAGUGAUGCUCCUUGCGUGUCCUUGAGGGGCUUCCUGCCCAAGCCUGGAGUCUUCAGAGAAGUCUCUGUCUAUUGUACAGCAUGUGGACUCCUCAGCCUGGGCCACUGUCCUGGCUGUGGUCUGGCUGCACACCCAUGGUAAGGACCAGAAGAUGGAGUGGGAGCUUCUGGAAAGGAAGGCUGUAUCCUGGAUUCACAUCCAAGCAGGCUCCAUGGUGCCCAUGCUUGUGAAAGCUGCCAAUGCUCUCCUGAAGUCAUCUGUGGAUCCUGCAGUCUUUGCUCCCUGAGGAUGCCUUCCAGAAAAAAAAAAAAAAAAAACCAAAAAAAUCUCCCCAUGGCAAUCAGCGCUCUCUUCACCAUCUCUUCUGCUGUGAUGUGGUUUUGCAUCUUAUAUCUCACCUAUCAUUCCUCUUGCCAUUAAAGUAAAUGAUGCCCACACCACCUUACCUGUCUGUUCCGUGUCCCUUUGGAUGAGCUCUUCUUUACUCAGCAUGACCCUCAGACAAGUGAUGUAGUUCCAGAACCUGUUUCUUUCUUAGAGGAGUGCAAAAUAUUCACAACAGUAAUUAAUAUUCCUCGUAGUCAUUUCACAGAGAUGACAAUAAAAAUAGGUGACAUGAGCCCCAGACUAGUUAUUUAAUAUUUAAUGCUAGAGAUGGUUUAAAUUAGAGAAUUCUCUGUAUUACCUUUGUCUACCCACUUUUGUUCUUAUAUACUUACCAGGACCAUAUUGGUAAGCUUUGAAUUUUUUAUUCUUGACGGAGGAGUUGGAGGGUAGUUACAAACCAAUGUCAGGAUUGAUGCAACCUCAGGAUCACAAAGAGAGAUACCUGAGGGAUCCACUGUGAGCAAUUAACUCUGCCUGGGGUUUGUUAGUCUGUACCACACACCUUUCUUUUGACAGCCUAAGUGACAUGGGUUGAGCUGUGAUUGUUGGAGACAGAUGUUCUCCUACAUCACUAAAUACCUUGUAAUAGGACUGGAAUGGAAACCUUAGGACUAGCCUGAACCCAUGAGGACUAUACCUCAGGCUCUGGUCCAGUGCAAUAAUAAAAAAGUAGGGAUGAUGGAGGCCUGAGACCUGAACCUGGAUUGUUCACCACAAGAAGAAUAGUGGAGUUCCACUUCUGACCCUUAUGUCUCAAAUAUCUUAGUGGAAUGCAGUGGCCCUAUUUGCUGUAAUGCAG
rnacentral:lncRNA from 1 species